CCCUUAGAUGUUCUGGGCUGCACGCGCGCUACACUGAUGCGCUCAACGAGUUUAUAACCUUGUCCGGCAGGAUUGGGUAAUCUUUUUAAAACGCAUCGUGAUGGGGAUAGAUUAUUGCAAUUAUUAAUCUUCAACGAGGAAUUCCUAGUAAGCGCGAGUCAUCAGCUCGUGCUGAUUACGUCCCUGCCCUUUGUACACACCGCCCGUCGCUCCUACCGAUUGGGUGUGCUGGUGAAAUGUUCGGAUCGGCCGUUUGUCGCGGUUUCCGCGUCAUGUGGCUGAGAAGUUCAUUAAACCCUCCCACCUAGAGGAAGGAGAAGUCGUAACA
rnacentral:rRNA from 1 species